rnacentral:rRNA from 1 species
GACGGGGGAUGCAAGCGUUAUCCGGAAUGAUUGGGCGUAAAGGGUCCGCAGGUGGCCCGGUCAGUCCGCUGUCAAAGCCUGGGGCUCAACCCUGGAGAGGCGGCGGAGACCACCGGGCUUGAGUCCGGUAGGGGCAGAGGGAAUUCCCGGUGUAGCAGUGAAAUGCGUAGAGAUCGGGAGGAACAUCUGUGGCGAAGGCGGCCAUCUGGACCAGCACUGACGCUGAGGAGCGAAAGCGUGGGGAGCGAACAGG